UGGGGAAUAUUGCACAAUGGGCGCAAGCCUGAUGCAGCCAUGCCGCGUGUGUGAAGAAGGCCUUCGGGUUGUAAAGCACUUUCAGCGAGGAGGAAGGGGGGUGUGUUAAUAGCACAUUGCAUUGACGUUACUCGCAGAAGAAGCACCGGCUAACUCCGUGCCAGCAGCCGCGGUAAUACGGAGGGUGCAAGCGUUAAUCGGAAUUACUGGGCGUAAAGCGCACGCAGGCGGUUUGUUAAGUCAGAUGUGAAAUCCCCGCGCUUAACGUGGGAACUGCAUUUGAAACUGGCAAGCUAGAGUCUUGUAGAGGGGGGUAGAAUUCCAGGUGUAGCGGUGAAAUGCGUAGAGAUCUGGAGGAAUACCGGUGGCGAAGGCGGCCCCCUGGACAAAGACUGACGCUCAGGUGCGAAAGCGUGGGGAGCAAACA
rnacentral:rRNA from 1 species